GUACUGAUGGUGUAGCGGUAACACACACUCUUUAUUCAAUGCGCAACCUAUACAUUUCUGAGUGAAUCCAGGGUUCGAGUCCCUGUCAGUGCA